CACUGCUCCUGGAAUAGCAAUGGGCAAGAUGGUUUUUUUUAAGUUGGGUUUGUUAUUAAAAGUUUCAUUCCUAAACCAAAUUCAGGAGCAAGCUAUCUUGUUUGAAAGUAUAGAGAUAGGAUGAUGAAGCAAUUCACUAGAGAGAAGGUGGGAUUUGACUGAGGUUUUGGGGGGGCAUUUUUUGUUUUGUUUGUUUGCUUUAGGGCCGCACCCAUGGCAUAUGGAGGUUCCCAGGCUAGGGAUCCAAUCGGAGCUACAGCUGCCAACCUACACCACAGCCACAGCAAUGCAGGAUCUGAGCCAUGUCUUUGGCCUACACCACAGUUCACAGUAAAGCUGGAUCCUUAAUCUGCUGAGCACGGCCAGGGAUCAAACUCACAACCUCCUGGUUACUAGUCAGAUUUGUUUCCGCUGCGCUACAACAGGAACUCCUUGACUGUGGUUCUUAAUUAAAGGAUUUGCUCAAGGUCCUCUAGAUGGGUAGCAGAGGCCACAAUGGAAGCACUUAAGUCUGUGAAGCUCUGAAAGCUCUACAAUUCUUGUCUGCCUCACUAGCCCCCUUAAAUGUGAGUCUGUGAUUCCGUGGCCAAAAUGGGGUAUACAUUUCCAAGAGUAGGGACAAGGGAGUUAAAAUGCCAUUCCUAUUCUCUUCAAGGAUCUACAGACUUCAUAGUGCAUAUCCUUUCUCUAUGACUUCACCACCAGGAAAAAAAGAGGUAUCAGUUUGGGGCAGGAAACAAAGGAAAAGCCUUUUUCCCUAGCACUGAGACCACCCCUCCCGCCCCCCCCCCACCAAAAAUCUCAGAAACACAAGCAGUUCUGGGAGUGAAAAUAGUAAUAAUUUAUAUAAUAAUGAUAACAGCAACUACUAGCAAAGGACAGGGUGCUUACCGUGUGUAGGCAUCAUGCUUCUCUGCCUCCUCCUACAGCCCCAUGACACAGAUACUACGUGCACACUCACUUUAAAGGUGCUGAAGAUUCAGAAAGCUUAACCAGUUUGCAAAGUCAGGGUUCAAACACAGGUGCACAGACUCCAGGUCCUGUUUCACUUUACCCCUUGUAAAUUUCCAACAAAAAAGAGAAAUUUCAUUACAAUCCCCCAUCCCGACCCUCCCAUUGACUAAGAAAUCACCAAGAGGUUAUACUGAAAGCAUACAUACCACUUUACAGACCCAUCCAAAAAUCAUUUUCCUUUAUUUUGUUUGGCAAGGAUGUCUUUAAUAAGGUGAUAGCUAUUCUUUGUGGUUGUUAUGUUGUCCCCUAAAUCAUUAAGUGACUAAGAAGAGGCCCAACCAACGAUAAUCACAUGGGUGCCAAGGAAGGAUAUCUAGUUAGCCAGAUGGAUGGAUGGAUGGACGGAUGGACGGAUAGGUAUGUAGGCAGAUGGAUAGAUAGAGAUAAAAUACACAUGUAUACAUCUUUACAUCAGUUUUCUUUAGAUUCAAGGAAAAUCCCACCAAAGAGAAAGGAUUUUCCUUCUUUCAAUAGAACUGAAAUUGAAUAACACAUUCUAUAUAGAAAUCAGGCCUCCUCACAAAUCUCAUCCUUUGAGACUCUGCACCAUCUCUGUAACCAGAACAAAAAUAGUCCUGAAAUCCAAAGGGAGAGGUUUUCUUACUGGUGUGUCCUGUCGAAUUUUAAAACAGCCCUGGCAUAUUUGCUUCUGGACUGAGAUGUCAGAAUCACUAAAAUAGAUGUCUACAGAGAAUUUAUGUUCUUCACAGAGAGAGAGAGAAAAGAGAAGAGGUGUUUGCCAUUAUUAGAGCACUAAGCUCUGGAAUGCACAGCUUUGAUCAUUACUAUGGCCUGAACAGCUGUUCCUGAACAGAUAUGAUGCUGUGGAGCCUGGAAGAACCAACUUAGAAUUCUGAAGCAUAGAUUUACAGUAAUUCCUCCUUCUACGGGAGACAUUAAGGCCGUAGCCAAGUAUAGUCAUCAACAAUUUCCUUUUUAUUUGCCACCCAAAGAAUUCAAAUCUAACAAAGGCCAAACACAAAAUUCUAAAGUUGGAAGGGGUGCAAAAGGGGACUCAGAGGUAUCUGACUUAAAAUCAGGAUCACUAGCCCUCCUUGAGGGGUAUCAGAAGGUGGCAGGAAGGAGGGUGGAUAAAGGGGGGGGGGCAUGGAGGGAAGGACAGGGAGAGAAGGGCAGUGGAAUCUGUCAAGUGCACUUCAGUGUCCAAAAGCCAGAGUGGCACCUCCCUCCACACACACACCCCAUAACCAGAACACAACCUCCCACAGCCCUGAUCAUAAUCUCAACUCUCUCCCAGGCAGAGGCAAUUUUGCAGUGAUGCAGCCGUCACCCAUAAUGGGGGGGAACUAGAAUCCUCUUGGCUGCCCUUAUACUUGUUUUAUAUAAUAGUAUUUUCUUUUUGGAAUUACACAUGAAGAGAGGAGCUCCACUGUCUUUGGGAGUUGGGGUCUAUACAUAUCUGUUUCUGAUAGGAGUUUUUGCCGUGUUUAGCACUGAAUUAAGUACUCAGUACAUUUACUUGUUGUGAGUAGCAUGAUGAUGAUGCUGUUGCUAGUAUCAUCUAUGCACUUACCAAGCAUCAACCCCUGUGCCGGACGGGGGGCAGAUGGGGGCGGCAGGGCAUGGCAGCAGGCAGGAACCCUCUGAUGCUGUUUUCCCACCUCCUGCCUGUUCUCACCGUUCCUCCAUCCAGCCUACAGGAGUUGCCACAGUGAUAGCAUCAGAGCUGAGACUCCAGGCCAGGGGCACACUGCCUCAGCACCCAGCUCAGCUUUCUUUCUUCCCAUCUUAGGAACACGGCUUCUCCCACAUGGUUGCUGGGGACCACACACUGCAGCAGAGGGUCUUGUCUGUGCUACCAACCUAAGCAUGAACUCCAAGGGGUUAGUUUUCUGGGAUCCUUCUCUGCAGGGAAAGAAGCAGGAAAGGGGAGUAGGAGCUGGGAAUAAGGCCUUGUGUCUCCCAGCUGACAGCUCUAUUAUAUUGCCUUUGAAGACAGACGAUUUUCAGUUCCUUAGUAAUUUCCCCUUUGCCCUUGUGAAGGGUGAAUUUGACCCAGGCACGGUGUGGGAUGGUAGAAGCUACUGGGGUUUCAAAGUCAGGCAAUGUUGGGCUUCCUGACUAAAGGCAGAGAUCACUGGGUUUAGGGGCAUGGCUCCAGGGUGAAACACCCCCGCCCUGGGUUUCUGUUCUUUUGCCAUCUCUGGUUGAGUGGGGUCAUAUCAUCAGAAGGGGCAAAAACUGAUGGAAUUAAGAUGGUGGAAUAGAAGGACUGGAGCUCAACUUCUCUCCUAAAAACAACAAAAUUCACAACUAAAGGCUGAGCAAUCUUCAACCAAAUGGACCAGAAACCUUAAAAAAGAUAUCCUACUCCAGAAGAAAAAGAGGAGGCCACAUCAAGAGGUAGGAGGGGCGAUUACGUGAUAUAAACAACCCCAUACCUCCUGGGUGGGAAGCCCCACAGACUGGAAACUAACUGGUUCACAGAGACUCACCUACAGGAGUGAGAGUUCUGAGCCCCACAUCUAACUCCCAUGUGCGGGGAUCUGGCACUGGGAGAAAGAGCUCCUGGAGCAUCUGGCAUUGAAGGCCAGUGGGGCUUGCAUGCAGAAGCUCCACGGGACUGGGGGAAAUGGAGACCCCUUUCUUAAAAGGCGCACACAGACUUUCACAUGCACUGGGUCCCAGGGCAGAGUGAGGUCUCCACAGGAAUCUGGGUCAAAGCUGACUGCAAUUCUUAGAGGACAUCCUGGGAAAACAGGGGUGAAUGUGGCUUGUUGUGACGGAAGGACAUUGGAAGCAAAGCUCUCGGGAAUAUUCAUCAAUGUGCCUUUCUCUGGAGGUGGCCAUUUUGGGAAAAUCUGGCCCCACCCAGAUUUGAAGCCCCAGGGCAAACAACAAUCCAGGUGGGAUCACAGCCUGGCCCCUCAGUAAACAGGCUGCCUAAAGACCCGGAAGGCACAUAGCCGCCUCUAAUCCCAUCCAGAGACUAAGCCCCACCCACCAGAGGGAUAGGAAUCAGCUUCACCUACCAGUGGGUGGGCCUCAGCCCCUCCCAUCAGGAAGCCUACAGCAGGCCCCCCAUACCGACUUCAGCCACAAGGGGGGCAGACACCAGAAGUAAGAGAGGCUACAGCUCUAUUAUCUAUAAAAAGGUCACCACACCAAAAACCUAUAAAAGUGAAAAGACAGAGAACUAUAACUCAGAUGAGGGAGAAAGGAAAAACCCCAGAAAAUCAGCUAAGUGAUGAGGGAGAAAGGAAAAACCCCAGAAAAUCAGCUAAGUGAUGAAGAAGUUCUCAGCCUCCAUGAAAAAGACUUUAGACUGUUGAUGCUGAAGAUGAUGCAAGACAUUGGGAAUAAACUGGAGGCAAAGAUGGAUAACUUACAGGAAACACUGAGAAAAGAGAUACAAGAUAUAAAACUUAAGAAGAGAUGCAAAAUAUAAUAACUGAAGUAAAAUAUUCACUAGAAGCAGCUAACAGCAGAAUACAGGCUGCAAAAGAAUGAAUAAGCAAGAUGGUGGACAGAUUAGUAGAAAUUACAAAC
rnacentral:lncRNA from 1 species